GUUCGCUUGUUCAAACAUGCAUUAUUGUUAAUACUGCGAGCCAGGCACCAUUCCAGGUAUACGACUCCCCUGGAUGACCCGUGAUUCUACAAAUUUUGCACUGUUCAAAUGCUUUGUUCAUUGAUGAGCAAGAGAUGCAUCAUUGUAUUCUCCCAGCCCUGGUUUGCAGACAUGGGCAAAAAAUUUCUGUGUUAUCCUGCCUUUAGCACAACUUAUAAAACCCAGAUAUGCUAGCUACUCAGCAACCCUUGGUUUCUCUUCUUGUUUGCAAAAGCCCAGUUAGAAGUGCACAGCCACCUGUUCCUUCCUGGCUCCCUGACGGUUUCUACAGAACACGUUCCUGUACACUUAAAAAUGUUUUAAUGACUAGGACCAAUGACACUCUGGUACCAAUGAGCACAUUCAGUGACUAAAUACUGAUGUCCAUACACAUUUAUUUUAUAAAAAGAACCAAGAAUCCUUGGAGAAAUGGCUGAUUCCAGGUCUGGGCUGGGAAAGUGAGCCUGGAAUAUCUUGUGGAGACAGAAAUUGAGGGAGCACUCCAAAUAUGACCUUUGGACACCCUGGCCAAAUUCAAGGGCGUUCCAAUGG